CUUCGUUGUUUUGUCUUUAUAUUUGAAAAUCUUUCUUAUUAUUUUAUUUAUUCAUUUGGUAAGGUCUCGUGCGACUUAGUCCGGGCCUGGGAGGUAAGGACAACCUUGAACUCCUGAUCUUCCUGCCUUUACAGUUUCCCUAAGAAAUGCCUGGAAGAGUCCCAGACUAGUGACUGUGAACUCUAAAUUUGAAGUCAGCUCAACGCAGAAACUUCUGUCAACACGAUUGCUAAGUAGACCACGCUCUACCUAACAUACAUAUGCUUGGUCUUGAAAAGCCUGAUACCACUGCAGCAAAGCACAGUAGAAUCUCUAGUAGACAUUGUUUGUUCUGAGUAGUCCUCAAACCUACACCUGUACAGAGUUCUUGGUCAGCUCCAUCGUUUUGGUUCCUGUCUUAAUAAAGCUUGAAAAUUCCUGUAAUUA